rnacentral:piRNA from 1 species
UGACUGUGUUUGUGCUGUGACUC